CUGGCGGCGUGCUAACACAUGCAAGUCGAACGCGAAAGGGACUUCGGUCCUGAGUAAAGUGGCGCACGGGUGAGUAACGCGUAGAUAACCUGUCUUCAUGUCUGGAAUAAUACGCCAAAGGGGUACUAAUACCGGAUAUUCUUGCUUUUCAUAAGUUAUGCAAGCAAAGGUGGCCUCUGCAUAUGCUACUGCAUGAAGAGGGGUCUGCGUACCAUUAGCUAGUAGGUGGGGUAAUGGCCUACCUAGGCGACGAUGGUUAGCGGGUCUGAGAGGAUGAUCCGCCACACUGGCACUGGAACACGGGCCAGACUCCUACGGGAGGCAGCAGUGAGGAAUAUUGCGCAAUGGGGGAAACCCUGACGCAGCGACGCCGCGUGAGUGAGGAAGGCCUUCGGGUCGUAAAGCUCUGUCAAGAGGAAAGAAGUGUACAAUGGCUAAUACCUGUUGUAUUUGACGGUACCUCUAAAGGAAGCACCGGCUAACUCCGUGCCAGCCGCGGC
rnacentral:rRNA from 1 species